UCCUUGAUAGCUCAUUUUGUAAAGAAUCUGCCUGCAAUGCAGGAGACCCUGGUUUGAUUUCUGGUUUGGGAA
rnacentral:tRNA from 1 species